rnacentral:rRNA from 1 species
UGUCUUUUUGAAAUUAAUAUAAAGUUUAAUCUGCCCACUGAUUUAAUAAUUGAAGGGCUGCAGUAUAUUGACUGUACAAAGGUAGCAUAAUCAUUAGUCAUUUAAUUGAUGACUUGUAUGAAGGAUUGGAUGAAAUAUAAUCUGUCUCUUAAUUAAUAAUAGAAUUUAAUUUUUUAAUUAAAAAGUUAAAAUGGUUUAAAAAGACGAGAAGACCCUAUAGAGUUUUAUAAAUAAAUUAAUUAAGAUUAUUUAGCAAUAUAAAAUUAAAAUUAAAUUAUUUAUUAUAUUGGGGUGAUAGAAAAAUAUAAUUAACUUUUUUUAUAAAUUAAACAUUUAUAAGUGAUUAAAUGAUCCAGUAUUAUUGAUUAUAAGAAAAAAUUACCUUAGGGAUAACAGCGUAAUUUUUUUUUUUAGUUCACAUAAGAAAAAGAGUUUGCGACCUCGAUGUUGGAUUAAGAUAAAAUUUAAAUGCAGAAG